ensembl:lncRNA
CGAACACAUACCUGAGAGCAGUGAAACACCUUGACGGUGGAAUAUAAUCAUAAUGACAAACAUAAUAAAUCGAGUUAUUGGCCUAUAAUCCUGUUUAAUGUCAACCAUGAAUUACUGCCUUUGUUUCCCCCCCUGUAGAAUCAGCCGCAGGAUAAUAAUAUAGGAUAAUGCUGUAUGUAAGCCUUUUUAUUGGGUUGUAUUGCGCUAUUUAAUAAACGACAGCGCAAUUUUAACCUUUAUGAGUUUUAGGCUACAUUGAUCAGGGGCUACAAAAUAUUUUUGCAGUAGUUCUAUAGCAGGAUAUUUUUUAUGUCUACAAUGUUGCCAUGUGAUGCUAUAAAUAUUAUUAAUAUGCCUUUAAUAUCAAGUUAAAAACAAACAAAAAGAAAAAAAACUGAUUUGUGCGGACUAAUCCGUGCGUAAAAUUACCAAGUCGCCAAAAAGAAGGCGCAAAUGAACACCGACGCUGUAAUCCAUCUUUUAUUUUAUUUAGAAAAAUCACCAUGAGCAGCAUAUUGAACUUAUAACCUAAAUGACAGGAUGAAGGCCUUAUUUUAUCACACUUCGUCUCACAGCACAGCACAGGCCUGUCGCUGUAGGCUAACAUAGCCUGUUGUUCUUCCUCUUCUCUCAAGGAGAAUGUGGACAAAAACGAAAAGCACCAAAAUACCUUUAAAAUCCUCACAAUGUUCCCGUUGCUGCGGAUGUUAUACCAACUUACAUUGGAAAAUGGAAAUCGAUUGUGCGUUGUUGUAAAACGUCUUAAGAGGACAGUAGCUGGUUACUGGGAGGAAACAGCGAAACAGAAAAUCUAACAAUCAAACUGCAGUCACACCAUAGCUUAGCCAUGACUGGUGUGUGUGUGUGUGUGUGUGUGUGUGUGUGUGUGUGUGUGUGUGUGUGUGUGUGCAUGACCAUAUCUGCAUUUCAAACCCACAGUAACAACAAAUAUACACAGCAACAAUGACAACAACAGCAAGGACAACAAUACCAACAAAUAUGCCCCUAUAAGGCUACAUGCAGAGUUUAUAAAAACAAAACAAAGAAGCUUUAUUCUGUCUUCUGGAGCAAAUUCCUUAAAAGCUCCUUUCUGAUUAAUAAGGGAGACCAGGAUUGGUUGUAACACAGAGAACUUCUCCACUAGGAGCAAAGUGAAACAAGUUUCUGUACAGACCUGUCAGGCACCUGAAAUACAGCAAGAAGAAGAAGUGGUGUUUUGCUUCCUUUUUUAUGUUGCUUAUUGUAAAUAUAUAAAAUCUCGUAAAUUUAGCAAAUGCACUGUGGUUACAAGUGCAUGACAUGUAAAAGGUUGUGAUUAUACAAAACCUACAUCAGUAUUUUUAACUAUUAUGACCCACGCAUUUGUGCAGAAACUUCAAUGGAGGACCAGGAAAAGACAAGAGCG